GGAGGGGUGCCGGAGCGGUUAAACGGGCUGCUCUCGAAAAGCAUGCGGGGCAAACCCCACGUGGGUUCAAAUCCCACCCCCUCCG
rnacentral:tRNA from 1 species